rnacentral:rRNA from 1 species
AUUGAACGCUGGCGGCAGGCCUAACACAUGCAAGUCGAGCGGUAGAGAGAAGCUUGCUUCUCUUGAGAGCGGCGGACGGGUGAGUAAUGCCUAGGAAUCUGCCUGGUAGUGGGGGAUAACGUUCGGAAACGGACGCUAAUACCGCAUACGUCCUACGGGAGAAAGCAGGGGACCUUCGGGCCUUGCGCUAUCAGAUGAGCCUAGGUCGGAUUAGCUAGUUGGUGGGGUAAUGGCUCACCAAGGCGACGAUCCGUAACUGGUCUGAGAGGAUGGACAGGCACACUGGAACUGAGACACGGUCCAGACUCCUACGGGAGGGAGCAGUGGGGAAUAUUGGACAAUGGGCGAAAGCCUGAUCCAGCCAUGCCGCGUGUGUGAAGAAGGUCUUCGGAUUGUAAAGCACUUUAAGUUGGGAGGAAGGGCAGUAAAUUAAUACUUUGCUGUUUUGACGUUACCGACAGAAUAAGCACCGGCUAACUCUGUGCCAGCCGCCGCGGUAA